rnacentral:rRNA from 1 species
GCAAGUCGAACGGCAGCGCGAAGUAGGUUUACCUAUUUUGGCGGCGAGUGGCGGAUGGGUGAGUAACGCGUAGGAAUCUACCUAGUAGCGAGGGAUAACUUAUGGAAACGUAAGCUAAUACCUCGUAAGUCCUAAGGGAGAAAGCAUGGGAUUCUUCGGAACCAUGCGCUAUUAGAUGAGCUUGCGUUGGAUUAGCUUGUUGGUGGGGUAAGAGCCUACCAAGGCGAUGAUCUAUAGCUGGCCUGAGAGGGCGAGC